rnacentral:lncRNA from 1 species
GUGCCGGAGACAACAGCAUCUGUGAGGGUAAAUCCCACCUUCAUCAUCAUCAUUAUCAUCAUCGGUGCUUCAGGGACUCGGAGACUACAGGGUGAUACUUUCUGUAAAUGUGACCCUGGAGCACAAAAGCAGUCAUUAGUAGCACAAGUACUGUACAAGGUGACUUCAGCCUGUGAAUUACAAAUGAAUCACUACUCCACUGAAUCAUCACAAAUGAAUCACUACUCCAAUGAAUCAUCUCAAAUGAAUCACUACUCCACUGAAUCAUCACAAAUGAAUCGCUACACCUCUAACAGUGGAGGGUAGAGUUUUCAAAAACUGUCUUUAAUAAAAAAGAGCAAGUAGUAACUCAGUUACUUCAGUAAGUAAUAUUACAGUACAGUAAAUGUACAGUCUACUUUUAAAGUGCAAAUUUUCCAAAAACUGAGUCAAGUAAAUGUGGCGGAGUACAUUGUUACUGCCAAGGGUGUAGGUUUAAUUCUGGUAUUGGUGGGGAGUAACAGCAGACAACAGACAUUUCAUUGUUUAAUCAAAAUCAUUGCUAGAGACAGCUCUGUAAUGUCUUAUAUUGUAAGGAUCUUGUCUCUACUAAACUCUACAGCCUCGAAAAUCAUAACAAGCGAUGCCCAGCUAUACAGUAUACUAUAGUUCUCUCCUUAAAUAUGAAGAUUACAGAUUGAUGAGUUACACAAAAAAGCUUAUGGAUGUAAUUAUAUUAUAAGUCAGACAUUGAAGUGAGUUGCUGUGUUUGUCUCUUCUGAGGAAGAUUCAUUCACUUGUUUGUCAAUGAAUCAUUUUAUUUAAUGUUUGUAUUUUGUACUACUCAAAAUAUAGAAAAAUUUAACUUCAUUUGUUUUUCCUGCUAGCUUAAUUUAACAAACAUACACUACCGGUCAAAGGUUUGGGAUCAGUAAGACUUGUAAUGUUUAAAGUAGUCUCUUCUGCUCAUCAAGGCUGCAUUUAUUUAAUUAAAUAUACAGAAAAUAAAAACGGUAAUCCUGCGAAAUGUUAUUACAAUAUUUAACAAUGGUUUCUAUUUUAAUAUCCUUUAAACUGUAAUUUAUUUCUGUAAUGCGCAGCUGAAUUUCCAUCAUCAUUACUCCAGUCUUCAGUGUCACAUGAUCUUCAGAAAUCAUUCUAAUAUACUGAUUUAUUAUUAGAAUUAUCAACAGUUGUGCUGACAAAUAUUUUUUUGGAAACUGUGAUACUUUUUUCAGGAUUCUUUGAUGAAUAAAAAGUUAAAACGAACAGCAUUCAUUCACAAUAUCAAUCUUUUUCUAACGAUAUAAUACUGACCACAAACUUUUUGAACUGUAGUGUAUAUUGUUAGAAAAGUAACUUUAACUUUUUAUUCAUCAAAGAAUCUUGAAAAAAGGAUCAAAUAUGAAACAGCAAAACUGAUAAUAAAUCAUCAUAUUAGAAUGAUUUCUGAAGAUCAUCUCUCUUUUUAAAUCUCUCUUUUCUUUAUUUAAAGUUGAUCUUGACAAGUAACCUAUAUGCAAACUAUCUAAAUGUAUUAUUAUUUUUAUAUUUUCAUAUAUAUAUAUAUAUAUAUAUAUAUAUAUAUAUAUAUAAGAAAAAUUUAACUUCAUUUGUUUUUUCCUGCUAGCUUAAUUUAACAAACAUACACUACCGGUCAAAGGUUUGGGAUCAGUAAGACUUGUAAUGUUUAAAGUAGUCUCUUCUGCUCAUCAAGGCUGCAUUUAUUUAAUUAAAUAUACAGAAAAUAAAAACGGUAAUCCUGCGAAAUGUUAUUACAAUAUUUAACAAUGGUUUCUAUUUUAAUAUCCUUUAAACUGUAAUUUAUUUCUGUAAUGCGCAGCUGAAUUUCCAUCAUCAUUACUCCAGUCUUCAGUGUCACAUGAUCUUCAGAAAUCAUUCUAAUAUACUGAUUUAUUAUUAGAAUUAUCAACAGUUGUGCUGACAAAUAUUUUUUUGGAAACUGUGAUACUUUUUUCAGGAUUCUUUGAUGAAUAAAAAGUUAAAACGAACAGCAUUCAUUCACAAUAUCAAUCUUUUUCUAACGAUAUAAAUCUUUGCUAUCACUUCUUAACAAUUUAACACAUCCUUGCUGAAUAAAAGUUUUAAUUUCUUACAAAAAAGAAAGAAUAAAAAUGUACUGACCACAAACUUUUGAACUGUAGUGUAUAUUGUUAGAAAAGUAACUUUAACUUUUUAUUCAUCAAAGAAUCUUGAAAAAAAGGAUCAAAUAUAGAAACAGCAAAACUGAUAAUAAAUCAUCAUAUUAGAAUGAUUUCUGA